UAUCCUUUUGCAUGAAUCGAUCUCUUAUAUACGUUUCUUUCUUUCGUUCAUCUCAUCAUUUGAUUUGUUCUAACUUUGGUUCGUUUGAUUCGGGCCUUUACCUUUGUUCCAAUUGUGAAAAGUAGCUUCCAAACUAGGGGUUUUUUUGUGUGUGUGUGUGUCACUGUGUCUGAUGGCUAUCAAAAGCUGAAUGAACAUAUUAAGGUUCUCUUAGUAUUUUAAUAAAUGUGUGCCUUUCUACAUGUGUCUUUCAUGGCGAUCGAGUCCAUAAUCUAUGGCAGAUACCUUUUUUUUUUUUUUUUUUUUUUUUUUUUUUUUUUUUUUUUUCUCUCUCCCUAAUUCCACUCCAAUCUCACAACAGCAGCAACCAUACCCAUUUUCCUCAUAAUUUUUUGCAUUUUCACAUUCAAUCCUACGAAAAUGAAGGAUCCCUUCUAGUGGGUUGAGCCUUUGAGGUAAUAAUCUCUAAAUUAUGCUCAUACUUGAAAGUGCCAAAUUAAGGGUUUUUUUAUUUUUAUUUUUAUUUUUAUAAGAAGAUACAUACCACCAUUAUUGAUGUUAUUUGAAGUUGGCUCAGCUAGAAUUUCAGUUAAUAAUACCGUCAAAGCACUUGCCAUCAGAAUGUACAAACACAUGGAAAUCAAGAGCACGCUUUAACAAAACAAAAGUUAAUGGUUUUUAUAUUAAUUUGCACAGGUCUUCUGUACCAAUGAUCAACCAAUCACUGCUACUAAAGUUGAUUCCUCAUCCUGAAAUCAAGAAAGGGGUAAUUGGCUCCCAAAAAAACACAAACACAAAGUGUAGUGUAGUUAAUAUAAAGAGUGAAAGACAAAACUAUAUAGGAUAGUGGAUGCCACAUAUAACCUAAAAGUCCCACUACUUCUUCGGUAGUACAAGUUCAUCCUCCUGUAAUAUAUAUAGUCACCUCAUCUCCACAUAUUUUUGUCAUAUGUAAUUAUCAAAUUUUAGUAGCUAUAUAAACAAUGAAUGUAAAAGAAGCUGCAGUUUUCUGUUCUCUAGUAAACUGAUCUCUUCAUUUUUUAUUUUGUGCCUGUGAAAAUUUCGCACUCUUUAAUUGAUAGAUUUAUUGUUAUUAGUUAGCUGUCUUAUGCACGCUGCACAUGCGCACAAUUAUUUAUUGGUGAUGAUAGAUUUAUAGUUAUUAGUUAGUUGUCUUAUGCAAACUGCACAAGCGCAUAAUUAUUUAUUGGUGGUAAUAAAAAAUUAUAGUUAUUAGUUAGUUGUCUUAAGUACACUGCACAUGCGCACAAUUAUUUAUUGGUGGUAAUAGAUUUAUAGUUAUUAGUUAGUUGUCUUAUGCACACUGUACAGGCGCACAAUUAUUUGUUGGUGGUGAUAAUUUAUAGUUAUUAGUUAGUUGUCUUAUGCACAGACGCACAAUUAUAUUAGCUAUAGAAUUUGAAAACAUGGUGUGAAAAUUUUGCACUCUUAUAAUUUUUUUUUGCGCGUGUGAAACUUAAAGGCCUCACAUCUGAAAGUUCGCUUAGGGCCUCUCAAAAUAUUUGGAAUCUCAGCCGGCCCUGUAUAUACAUAUAUUGUGGUAAUGCUAGUUAUGUAUCCCACAUCGGAAAGUUGUAAAGAGUGGGCUAGGAGAGUUGUAAUAUAAAAGCAGAGAUUGGGCCUUGGAAUAAGUAUCUUUGCGCUUGGGGCAAUGACGCAGCUAGUGAGGUACUAACCGAGGCGCGUCAAUUGCUGGUUGAAAACUAUUUCCAAACCCCCUCUUUGGCCUGGGCUUGGCCCAGGCCAUUGAGAAUUUCUGGAAGGGCUCCCUUUAUUGGGUAGCCCCACAAUUCUAGUUUUAAAAUUUUAAUUUUUAAGCCCAAAUUAUUAAAUUGGGCCUUGGGUUUAAAGGCCCAGCCUAAGAUCACCAAAUAAGAACUUAUUAAAGUGUAACUGGACCUCCAUGGAAAAUUAUAUAAAAUACUAAAAUUUUUGAAUUUAUUUUUUUGAAUUUUGUAUUUAUUUAAAUUUAGGAAAGGUGAAAAAAGUAAUUCACCUUUGAAAAGACAUUUUAUGACAAGAAACAUGAAAAUAAUUCCCACUCAACAUGUCCGUUCAAAGGUCAUGUGAAGUUUAGGAUUGGAUUACAUGAUUAAUUAAGAUUGUUCCAUUAGUGGUUAAUUAAGAUUGUUCCAUUAGUUGGAGGGAAAAAAUACAUUAAAAAAAAAAAAAAAAAACUUCUUCUCCUUAGUGGGAUUCAACUCUUCCUUCAGCUAAACAUUAAUCUCAAAAUUUUGUUUAGAAAAUAUUUUACAUAAAAAAAUAAAAAAUAAAGAAAACAUUUUACAUAAAAAAAAAAAAAAUUGUUUAAAAAAAAUUUGUAUCUCAACUGUUGAAAUUAGAUGGUAAAACAUCUCAACCGUUGGUUUGCUAAACCUAAGACAUAUAGCGGCGUGUUCAGUUCCACCACAUGUUCCCGUGCAGAGCCGCCAUCCGCAUGCUAUACAACUCCCAAUUCCCCGUCUCUCUCUCAAGGAUCUGAAGGCGCAACACUUACAAGAUCUGUAAGUUUUGAUUUCAUUAUGAAAAAUGAAAAUCUCUUCUGUAAAUUUUCUUUUUUGCUCUUGUCAGAGACAAAGAUCGGAUUUCGUGAUCUAUUCUCAUCGGAUUUCUUUUAUAUUGGUGUGAAACUAAUGGACUUAAAUAUCAUUUUUUUUUCUUUUCAAAUAUGCCUGCAGCAAUGCCGGUGAUUAUUGUAUUUUCUUUUUCUAUUUUUCACUAGAAAUACCGGAAAAUAAUUGGACCGCAAGUACUUUUCCAAAUAUCAAGUUGCCUUAAACCAAUAUCAAAAUUGCUCAUCUUUUUCUCUCUUGUUUGUUUUUUAUAUCUCUAAUCUGUCCAUCUUCUCCUCUUGCUAUCUCUUGGAUCUGCAGACUAAUUUUUUUAAUUAUACAAAAAAAAAAACUGUAUAAUCAAUUUCCAUGGAGAAAACCGUUGGACCCACCUCAAUGUGUUGUGUUGAAAACGCAAGUGAGAAGGUCGAUAAAGGAGGGUUGUGUUUGGAGGAUCGCAUUAGUGAACUUCCUGAUGUUGUACUUGUUUCAAUCUUGUCAGUAUUGACCAUGAAAGAAUCUGCAAGAACUAGUCUCCUAUCAAAUAGAUGGAGGUACACACUUUACUCGUUUGACCUUUGAUCCCUCCUCACAUUUAAUCGAAGGAAUCUAUGAGCGACAAAAGGAAGUUGAAGUAGAAAGGCCAUUGUAUUUGAGUUGGGUUACUCAAGUCUUGAAAUCCCACAACGCUCCAACUAUAGAUGAAUUCAGAGUUCGAUUUGAUUUGGGGGAAAGUUCUAGACUUGAUAUUGACAAUUGGGUUAACUUUGCAAUGGAGAAGAGAGUUAAAAGGCUUGAGUUAGACUUGGCAGAAUUAACCGACUAUAGUAGAGAGGAAGAGGAUUACAAUUUUCCUGACCCGGAUGGUAUUGCAAAUCACUUGCAUUCAUUGUCUCUUGGGUUUACUAGCUGCAACUCCCUGACCAAUCUCCUCUUGACACACGUCAAUGUAACUGGACAGGAUCUCGAGUACUUCAUAACUAACUUUCCAAAUCUGGAACAAUUGUAUGUGAAAGAAUCUGACGCUCUCGUAAAUCUGAAAGUUCCUGAUCUAGCACUCAAAUUGAAGCGUUUGGAGAUAACUUUCUGCUUCAAUGUGGAAAGUAUUGAGAUUUCUGCAACGAAUCUUGUGUCAUUUAAGUACUUCGGACCAAAAAUACGCUUGCCAUUUAAAAAUGUCGAGUCUCCUGUGGAUUUGUAUAUCGGGGGUGAAUAUUGCACUUAUCUAAUAUAUAAGUUUUUGGAUAUUUCAAGCUAUCUUUCUCAGCUAGAGAGCCUUGCACUGGAGAUUAUCUGUAUGUGGGAGAUUGAUCUUCAAGAUACUAAAUUUUUGUAUUUAAUAAACUCAAGCGACUGGAGGUGAUAAUUAAUGCAAGCGAUGAUGAAAGCCUUAUGGAUUUUACUCUCCUGAUAGAGGCAUGCCCUUUCUUGUCUAAAUUUGUGUUGGAGCUGCAUUGGUUCAAGCCACUUCGGAAAAGAAAACAUCAGAAGUUUACGUCUCGGCCCCAUCAUUACCUUAAGGUGGUGGAACUAAUUGGUUUUGUUGGGCGUACAAAUGAUGUUGAGCUUGCCAUGUAUUUAAUUAAGAGUGCUGUGAAUCUUGAGAAGAUUACUUUUGAUCCUCUCAAUCGAUUUCUUAUAGGAACUCCAUUGGAGUUCAUGAAGCAAAAGAGGAAAACAAUAGCGAGAAAGCGUGCCAAGAAGCUUGGAAUCAAACUUCCUGUUGGAGCAGAUUUGAUAAUCCUUUAAUUAUACGAUUGUAUAAGCUAUUUCUUCUGCAUGUAAAUUUAUUUGGUAUGAUCCUGGAAGAGGUAAGUAUAGAGAUUUUUUAUUUAUUUUAUUUUUACUUCAAUAUCACAAUUUUAUUAAUUUACUUUUUCA